CCAAACAAAGUUUUUGAUAUACAUCGAACUCUCCACUGAAUUCGACCUAUAUUUAUUUUUAUAUAAUACUAGUCUUUUGCACUGUUUUAUUUUUAUGGUAAUAUUAUCAUGCCAAAAUAUUGCGAUACAGAUGACAAAUCUGCAUAACUAAAUAGCAAUAACUUAUACCAAGUAUCGAGAAACCUACCUAUACUACACAUCCAUUAAAGAACGAGAGAAAGAACCGCAUCUUCAAAAAUUUGCACACUCCAACAUCAUUUUGCCAAGCAGCAUAUAUAUUUAAGGAUAUUUACUUGUUAAAAAGAAGUAUAUUAUUAGACUUGUGCCGAAAUAUCUUCACCAAAGGUGACUUCCUAGCAGUGACGUGAAGAGCCUUAGUGAGCAUUCUGACUAGUCCUUUGACCCUGAGGCCUUUGUCUUCAGCACCACGAAUCAAAUGAACACAGAUUGUAAACAAAAACAAGUGAACAGAGUAUCAAAUUAGACAAUUACAAAGAUCAUUAUAAUCAGAAACUAUAUAAAAACUAAAAUUAAACAUGUCCCUAAGGAUGGAAAUCAUUUUCCUACUAUACUUUCCAAUAACUAUGAAAAUUGCUGGUGAUUAAAUUGGAAUAAAAAUCCAGGGCUCCAUGAAGGACCACCUACUAUCACAAAACAUAAUUAUACUUUAUAAAUCAUUUAAUGAGUGAUAUUGUACACUCUUUAACGACAAAAUAGUAAUAUAUAAAAAAUUCUAAGCAAUACCUUUGAUCCAAAACUAAAAUGUGCUAAAAAAUUUAAGCAUUUAAUUCUUUUUAAUUACUGCAAAAAAUGAUAUUCCCAAUCAACCCCCCCUCCCACCCAAUGAAUCCCUAACUUUUUAGGAAGCUUUUGUUAAUAAGCAUUGUCUUCUCACUAGAAAUGGCAAUUUGGCUUGCUAGCUUAGGCCGCUCGUGACUCGGUUUGUAAAAAAAUCCAAACAUGCCCGAGCCUCAUUUUAAGGCAUCGGCCCAAGCCCUAGCUUGAGCCCAAGCCCGACUUGACUGGGGAAAAAAAUGGGGCAAAUUGCCAGUUAAACAAUUGAGCCGACACCGCACAGCUCGAUUUGUCGAACUUUUGCUCGGCUCGAACCAAAAAAAGACCAAAUUAAUUUUACUCGAGCCAAGUCCGAGCCUUAGGUUUCGACUUCGUGCCUGCUCGACUUUGCUCGUUGACAUCCCUACUUCUCACCAUCCUGAGUUGGGUGUUUACUCCAUAAACUCUUUUGGGGAAGCAAAUUUUUUAACAGAUGAAAUCAAUUUUGCAGAGUUUGGUCUAGGGGCAACCCAGCCUUGGUCUAAGUAGGACUUGGAAUAUCUAUUCUCGCAAAAUCAUACAAUGUACUCUCCAGAGACCGCACAAGUAUUUUCAAAGAUGGAAUAUCUAUUCCAGCAAAAUCAUACAAUGUACUCUUUCUUUAGUUCUAUCCAAGAACCCCUUUCUAUGUAAAGAAAAUUACAGUCUUUUUCAUUGAAUUAGUAUUUAAAUAGUAAAACCCUCCGUAGCUGCUCCUCUCUCAUUUUCUUUGAUCUCGUGAAAUAGCGCUAAGUACACCAAUCACAAUUAAAACUACAACAAUACAUCAAAUUCUAACCUAAAUACAUAUUUAUUUUUUUCAUUAUAUAUUUUCCUCAAAAGGCAUCAGAUCAAGAGUGUAUUAGUGUAAAUUAGUUGGAAAAUAAAAUUAUAAACUACAUAAAAAAUUGUUCAGUUAUGGUCUUUGAAUUAUUAUAAAUACACAAGGACAUCUUUCCCAAAAAUUCAACAAGAGAAUCGAUUAGUUUUACUAAAGAACACACACAACCAAUUACUUGUAUACAAGCUAAUUAGACAGUAGCAUACACAUAGUAAGUAGAGAGCCUUACCUGAUUAAAAUGGUGACGUGUUUUAGUUUCUG
rnacentral:lncRNA from 1 species